rnacentral:rRNA from 1 species
GAUCAUGGCUCAGGACGAACGCUGGCGGCGUGCUUAACACAUGCAAGUCGAACGAGAAUCUGUGGAUCGAGGAUUCGUCCAAGUGAAGCAGGGGACAGUGGCGGACGGGUGAGUAACGCGUGAGGAGCCUGCCUUUCAGAGGGGGACAACAGUUGGAAACGACUGCUAAUACCGCAUGAUACAUUUGGGUGGCAUCAUCUGAAUGUCAAAGAUUUAUCGCUGAAAG